rnacentral:rRNA from 1 species
AUGAACGCUUGCGGCGUGCCUAAUCCCUGCAAGUCGAGCGAACAGACGAGGAGCUUGCUCCUCUGACGUUAGCGGCGGACGGGUGAGUAACACGUGGAUAACCUACCUAUAAGACUGGGAUAACUUCGGGAAACCGGAGCUAAUACCGGAUAAUAUAUUGAACCGCAUGGUUCAAUAGUGAAAGACGGUUUUGCUGUCACUUAUAGAUGGAUCCGCGCCGCAUUAGCUAGUUGGUAAGGUAACGGCUUACCAAGGCAACGAUGCGUAGCCGACCUGAGAGGGUGAUCGGCCACACUGGAACUGAGACACGGUCCAGACUCCUACGGGAGGCAGCAGUAGGGAAUCUUCCGCAAUGGGCGAAAGCCUGACGGAGCAACGCCGCGUGAGUGAUGAAGGUCUUCGGAUCGUAAAACUCUGUUAUUAGGGAAGAACAAAUGUGUAAGUAACUAUGCACGUCUUGACGGUACCUAAUCAGAAAGCCACGGCUAACUACGUG